GGAUGCGAUCAUUCCAGCACUAACGCACCGGAUCCCAUCAGAACUCCGAAGUGAAGCGUGCUAGGGGGAGAGUAGUAUUAGGAUCGGUGACCCCCUGGAAGUCCUUAUGUUGCAUCCC